rnacentral:snRNA from 1 species
AUCGCUUCUCGGCCUUUUGGCUAAGAUCAAGUGUAGCAU